CGAGACGCUACGGACUUGAAAAUCCGUUGGCUUUAUUGACCGUGAGGGUUCAAGUCCCUCUACCCCCA
rnacentral:tRNA from 4 species